AUGAGAGAUACCGUAUGCAUGCACCAUCCAACCCUUCACCAGGUGGGCGUGACACCAACAGGAGCCUUCCUCUGUGUCUUCUGCACCCUGGAACAGCAAUGCAUUGUCUCAGCAGACACACAACCGGACCUGCCUCUCCUAUGUCAUUGGUGUAAGACCGGAUCACUUGGGUCACAACUGCAUAGGAACUAUUGUACAUCCCUGCAGAUCAAAUCACCAUUGGCUGCUUGGGGGAUGUCUAAGCCCCACCUCAUUGGAUCAUACAUUCAGGCAGUCUGUUUCAAGUGGCAAAGGAACCCAACAAUUUCACAUCUGGUCCUACUCAUCCAAACCCAUAACGUCCAAGUGGGUUUAACCUUAAACUGUCCACAUCCCUCCUGAAGCGCAGCACCCAGAACUGGACACAGCACUCCAACUGCGGCCUGACCAAUGUCACAUAGAGGGGGAGGAUCACCUCCUUGGACCUGCUCAUGAUGAAUCUGUG
rnacentral:lncRNA from 1 species